UACAGAGGGUGCAAACGUUGUUCGGAUUUACUGGGCGUAAAGCGCGUGUAGGCUGCUUCGCAAGUCGGAUGUGAAAGCCCUGGGCUCAACCCAGGAAGUGCAUUCGAAACUGCAGAGCUGGAGUCCUGGAGAGGAAGGCGGAAUUCUCGGUGUAGAGGUGAAAUUCGUAGAUAUCGAGAGGAACACCGGUGGCGAAGGCGGCCUUCUGGACAGUGACUGACGCUGAGACGCGAAAGCGUGGGGAGCAAACAGG
rnacentral:rRNA from 2 species